rnacentral:rRNA from 1 species
GCCAAAGACCUAGCAUUNAUCAUUUUCUACUAAAAAUGUCUUAACAAACGCACAAACAACUAAUUAAAUNNUUUUUUGCUUAUAGUAUAGGUGAUAGAAAUAAAAUUUAUAUAGCUAUAGAAAAAGUACCGUAAGGGAAAGGUGAAAUAAAAAUGAAAUAGAUUACUAAGCAAUAAAAAGCAGAGAUUGAGUCUCGUACCUUUUGCAUAAUGGUCUAACCAGUCAUAAUCAAGCAAAACGAAUUUAAGUUUGACCCCCCGAAACUAAGCGAGCUACUCCGAGACAGCUUUAUAGAGCAAACCCAUCUCUGUGGCAAAAGAGUGGGAAGAUCUCCGAGUAGGGGUGACAGACCAAACGAGCCUAGUGAUAGCUGGUUGCUCAGGAAACGAAUUUUAGUUCGACUCUAAGAUCUAGUUUUAACAAAUAAAAGUAAAAACUUAAACUUAGAAUUUAUUUAAUCAGGGUACAGCCUGAUUAAAACAGGAUACAACCUAAAAUGUUGGGUAAAGAUUAUGGUGACUUAGGUUAUUGAGUUAGUUGGCCUAAAAGCAGCCAUCUACAAAGAAAGCGUCAAAGCUCGCUCAAAAAUACCUCCUUAAAUUCGAUUAAUUUCUCUAAACCCUCACAUCUUACUGAGCUAUUCUANNUUUUAUAGAAGAACUUAUGUUAGAACUAGUAAUGUGAAUUUCACUAUUCUCCNAAAAAUGUAGGUGUAAAUCAGAUCGAAUAAAUCACUGAUAUUUAACGCUUUCUAUGAGACUAUUGCAUCAACAACACAAGAAAAACAUGCAUUUAAUAACGUUAAUCUAACACAAGAACANUUCAAGGAAAGAUAAAAAGACGCAGAAGGAACUCGGCAAACCCGAACCUCGCCUGUUUACCAAAAACAUCGCCUCUUGCUAAUUAACACGUAUAAGAGGUCCAGCCUGCCCAGUGACUAUAUGUUCAACGGCCGCGGUAUUCUGACCGUGCAAAGGUAGCGUAAUCACUUGUCUUUUAAAUAAAGACUGGUAUGAAUGGCAUCACGAAGGUUCAACUGUCUCCUGCAUCCUAUCCAUAAAACUGACCUCCCCGUGCAGAGGCGGGGAUACGACCAUAAGACGAGAAGACCCUAUGGAGCUUCAAACUAAAGGCAACUGCCAACUAUUAUUUAACCACCAGGGAUUAACAAAUAAACAAGCAUGUAUGACCUAAAGUUUUCGGUUGGGGCGACCACGGAGGAAAAAAAAUCCUCCUUGAUGAAUAGGACAUUUAAUCCUUAACCAAGAAUAACAAUUCUAAGUAACAAAANUUUUAGACUAUAAUUGAUCCAGUCUAACUGAUCAACGAACCAAGUUACCCUAGGGAUAACAGCGCAAUCCAUUUCAAAAGUUCUUAUCGACAAAUGGGUUUACGACCUCGAUGUUGGAUCAGGGCAUCCCAGUGGUGCAGCCGCUACUAAAGGUUCGUUUGUUCAACGAUUAAAGCCCUACGUGAUCUGAGUUCAGACCGGAGUAAUCCAGGUCAGUUUCUAUCUAUGAAGAAUUUUCUCUAGUACGAAAGGACCGAGGAAAUAAGGCCAAUGUUNUUAAUAAGCCUUACUCUAUAUCAAUGAAAACAACUAAAUUGAGAAAUAGACCUACGAUAUUCGCCCAAGAUUAGGGCUA